AUGAGUAGCAUUGAAGUUGUGGCUAAGGAAGCUGAAGAGGGUCAGGAAAAGUUGAAGGAAGAAAUCAAGGCUAAGAUGAAAGCAAGUGAAGCUCGUGUCCUAGCUAAAGUGAAAUCCAAGAAAGGUGUUGUUGAUCAUAUUCAUAGUUCCGCAUAUCUUUUUUCUAUAAAUACUUCAAUUGUUGAUCCAGAGCCUACUAGUGUUGCUUCAUAUCCUACUGAUGUUGUCUCUCUUAUCUAA